UACGUAGGUGACAAGCGUUGUCCGGAUUUACUGGGCGUAAAGAGCGCGCAGGCGGUCGAUCAAGUCGAGUGUGAAAGCCCCCGGCUCAACUGGGGAGGGUCAUUCGAUACUGAUCGACUCGAAGGCAGGAGAGGGUAGUGGAAUUCCUGGUGUAGCGGUGAAAUGCGUAGAUAUCAGGAGGAACACCGGUGGCGAAGGCGGCCCUCUGGACGGAUACUGACGCUGAGACGCGAAAGCGUGGGGAGCAAACAGG
rnacentral:rRNA from 1 species